UUUCCAGACUCCUACGGGAGGCAGCAGUGGGGAAUAUUGCACAAUGGGGGAAACCCUGAUGCAGCAACGCCGCGUGAGUGAAGAAGUCAUUCGUGAUGUAAAGCUCUAUCAGCAGGGAAGAAAAUGACGGUACCUGAGUAAGAAGCCCCGGCUAACUACGUGCCAGCAGCCGCGGUAAUACGUAGGGGGCAAGCGUUGUCCGGAAUUACUGGGCGUAAAGAGAGCGUAGGCGGCACUACAAGUCUCAUGUGAAAUACCCGGGCUUAACUUGGGGGUUGCAUGGGAAACUGUAGAGCUUGAGUACAGGAGAGGCAAGCGGAAUUCCUAGUGUAGCGGUGAAAUGCAUAGAUAUUAGGAGGAACACCAGUGGCGAAGGCGGCUUGCUGGACUGAAACUGACGCUGAGGCUCGAAAGCGUGGGGAGCAAACAGGAUUAGAUACCCCAGUAUU
rnacentral:rRNA from 1 species